rnacentral:lncRNA from 1 species
GGAUACUGGUAAUCAAGCUAGCCAGUGCGGGGGUCGAUAUGGAUUAGGGUUAGUGUUUCUUUUUAUGCUUAUGAUCAGGCGGUUUGAUUCUACUUUAUUAUAUGAUUGGGAGGUUUGAGUCCCCCGUGCAUAUAUAUGAGACUAUUCUCCAGUUCAUGUGGCUACAUGCACUGGGGCCGGACCAGGGGUGAGAUAUUGGGCCCAUAUAUCACGUUGGUAUUAUUGUAUGACGGUUAAGAUACAUAGUCCAAGUUAAUAUUUUUAAACAUCCAUGUUAAACCUUAUUCCCG